GAGAUGCGCAAGCGCGAGCAUGGAGGUUUGCAGCCAACCGUUAAGGCUGCCAUAGCGGUUCCAGAGUCCGUUACCAACAUCAAAGUCUCAUUUUAUCACAUCAUGAUUGAAUUGCAAGCAUCGGUGGACUGGAUGCAAGAGCCUGGGAAAAAUCAUCAAAAGCAUUAGUGUCUUCAAGAGUUCUACCUGACCCCUGCCAGCACAGAGGAGGUGAGCCGCUCCCAGCUCACAAGAGGAGGCUUCCAGCGCACCACACCACCCUUGCCAGCACAGAGGAAGUGAGCUUCGCAGGCGCCAGCAGCAAACAGCCCCCCACCCCACCCCCCAUUGAUAUGAGAAGACACAUAAACAAGUCUCAAAAGCACACUUCCAGAUCACCUACAACAACCCCAAAGGGAAAUGAGAUGGAACAUUCUGAUACUCAACCACCUGGACUCCCUGAACUGGUAACAAAAGAGGAUCUGGAAAAAAUGAAAUCAGAAAUAAUUUCUCAGAUAACAGCAGAGAUUGUGCUCAUAGUGCAAGACGU
rnacentral:lncRNA from 1 species